CCAAAUGCAAGACCCAAUAGGGUGAAGCAACAUCCCAAAUGGAUGCAGGAUUUUAUUUCAAAAUUAUUAAUUAAGUUGUUAAUUUCUUAUGAGAAUUAAGGCUUCUAAGACUUUAGGCUUGUGACCCAGAAAUCCAAUUGUUAAACCUAAUGCCACUAUUUUACUAUUUAGCAACAGUAGCAGCUGCUACAAUGAAAUAUAUGAUGAAUUUCUAGAAUUUCUUAUCUUAGUUCUUUAGCAUUCUUCAAUUUUCUUCACUAAUUAAUUAAGUUCUUAUCAAUUGAUGCUUUCAUUCCUACAAUACCUCCCAAAGUUGCAAACAAAGAUAUUGAUGAGACCUUGAUACAAAUCCUUGCUGAUAAAUUGCAAGAAUACAAAGACCAACACGAUGCAAGACAUGAGGUAAUUACAGAUACUUUACGCACUAUUACAGAUAAGUUAGCUACAAUUUCUUUUUUACCUCCCCAUCCACCAGAUCCACCCAACAUUCCCAGUUCUUCCAAUCUCACAAACCCUAAACCCCAAUCUCCUACUGGCCAAAAUGCUAUCCCACCACCCUUUCCCAUACCAUCCCCAAUACCACCCUUCACAACCUAUAACACACCAGUCCCUCCAUUUUUUAGCAAAACCAACAAUCCUACAUACGACCCCUACUCAACCACCACACAUUAACCCUCACCAUCCUAGACCACCUAAGCUGCAACUGAACCCAUUUGAUGGUUCUGAACCCUUGGACUGGUUGUUCCAAGCUGAGCAAUUCUUCCAACUAUACUAGGUUCCCCUAGAUUAAAGACUGCAUAUCAUCUCCUUCUACAUGAAAGGAUAAGCUCUCAGCUAGUUUAAAUGGGCUUUUCACAACAUCUCAAUAACUGAGUGGGAUAGUUUCACACGGUUCGUAGAGAUCUGUUUUGGUCCUUCAUGCUACGAGAAUCACCAAGGAGAGCUGUUUAAGCUCCGCCAAACCACCACAGUGGCAGAUUAUCAGCAAAAGUUCGAAAAGCUAUGUAAUAGAAUAUGGGGUCUGUCACUAGAGGUAAUACUUAAUUGUUUUAUUUCCUGCCUAAUUCCUGAAAUACGCCGUGAACUAGCAAUUUUAAGGCCUCGUCAUAUUGCUGAAGCACUUGGUCUAGCGAAAGUUGUGGAAUCCAAACUCAAGGACUCAAAGCCAGUUUACCAAAGAAACCCUCCUAAUACAUACAUACAACACCCACUCAUACCUAACCGUAUCCAAAACCGACCUAAUCCAAACACCACUUUCCAAAAUGCCCAGCCUACCAUUCCCAUUCGACGUCUCACAACCGCUCAAAUGCAAGAGCGACGAGCUCAAGGUCUUUGCUACAAGCCUUAGAAGGACCCCAUUUACUUUUUUGACCGGAGACUUGGGUUCUGAGGGUGAUAUUCCCCUGGAAAAAUUUACUUCCGUUGAGGAGGAGGUUCCAAAUAUGACCGAGGAACUUAUUCAUUUUCAACUAUCUGAACAAGCCUUAGAAGGACCCCAUUCACCACGAACCUUGAGAUUCUAAGGCAGUAUUGCGGGACACAUGGUGACAGUACUAGUGGACACUGGUAGUUCUCACAAUGUCAUUCAACCCCUUCUAGCAUAACAAUUACAUCUGCCCAUUUCAACAACACCGAAAUUUCCGGUCAUGGUAAAAACUGGGGUGCACAUUUCCGGUCAGCGGUAGCGAUUGGAGCGGUCUUAUCCAAUAUGGUCAACCAUUGGCCCACUUCAACAAGAAAAUGUCUCUUCGCAUGCAGAAUGCUUCUACCUAUGUCAGGGAGAUGUUCGCCAUGACAUAAUCUGUAAAGAAAUGGUGUCAAUAUCUCAUCGGAAGGCAUUUCAUUAUAUACACAGAUCAGCAGAGUUUAAAGCAUUUGGUAACACAAGGCUUUCAUACACCAGAACAACAAAAAUGGGCUACAUAACUCAUUGGGUUUGAUUAUAAGGUUAAAUACAGGAGUGGUACCUCUAAUCGCGUGGUCGAUGCUUUGAGCAGAUGCCAUAGUGAAGAACAAGCUAUCUUCUCGGCCUUGUCAUCCCCCAUUCCACAUAUACUACACAGGUUGAGAACAUUUUAUGCAACUCCCGCUGGAAAACAAUUAUUAGAAAACUGUCAGUCCAAUGAUGUGGGUGAAAACACUUUCCAUUACUCACAAGGUCUAUUGUUCUUUCGCAAUCAGAUUUACAUACCUGACAUUGAGGACUUGAGAAGCACCUUGAUCAAGGAAUUCCAUGACUCUGCCAUUGUUGGUCGUUCGGGUUGGAAACCGUCCUCAGCUCGUCUCAUAGCAUCGUGCCACUGGCCUGUCAUGGCUAAGGACCUCAAACUGUUUAUCUGCCAAUGUGUCACAUGUCAAUACAUCAAAUACAGUCCACAAAGGAGUCAAAGUUUACUUCAGUCAUUAAAAAUAUCAGAGAAGGUAUGGGAGGACUUGUCCAUGGAUUUUAUAACUUGCAGGAGUAGGCAUUGAUGGAAGCCCAAAUGCAGGAGUAGGCAUUAGGGUGAAGCAACAGCCCAAAUGGAUGCAGGAUUUUAUUUAGAAAUUAUUAAUUAAGUUGUUAAUUUCUUAUGAGAAUUAAGGCGGCUUAGACUUUGGACCUGUGACCCAGAAGCCCAAUUGUUAAACCUAAUGCCACUACUUUACUAUUUAGCAACAGUAGCAGCUACUACAACGAAUUAUAUGAUGAAUUUCCCGAAUUUCUUAUCUUAGUUCUUUAGCAUUCUUCAAUUUUCUUCACUGUUUAAUUAAGUUCUUAUCACAGUCCAACAAAAUCAUCCAAAAAACACAAAUUAUCAAUGAAUUAGCUUUAGUUUGGAGCCCUCAUCCAAGACAUCUUAUGUGAACCCAACCCAGCCCAACCCAACCG
rnacentral:lncRNA from 1 species